rnacentral:lncRNA from 10 species
UUGUGUAGGUAACUAAGGCCUACCGAAACCAGUCAGCCCUAAGUGCACACAGGAGAACCAUGGAGUUGGAGGAAAAGGAUGAUCUGCAAGUAUCCUGCAAAUAUCUCACCCAGUUAUUGCUGGGAUUCCCCAGGAACAUUACAUGGGAACAUAUCGCCAUAUAGGCUCAAUGGGUGCAGCAAGAAAUAAAAGAUGAGAAUUAUUAGGAUAUGUGGGAUGCUCUGGAAGCAUUCUAGCUGACGUAAUAGACAUUUGCGGAAAAGUCUUGGGGAUCCUGAAUUCAUUAAACAGCUUCUUCUUUUGCCCUGGUUCCUCAU